UACGUAGGGAGCGAGCGUUGUCCGGAUUCAUUGGGCGUAAAGAGCUCGUAGGCGGCUUGGUAAGUCGGAUGUGAAACCUCCAGGCUCAACCUGGAGUCGCCAUCCGAUACUGCUAUGGCUAGAGUCCGGUAGGGGCCCACGGAAUUCCUGGUGUAGCGGUGAAAUGCGCAGAUAUCAGGAGGAACACCGAUGGCGAAGGCAGUGGGCUGGGCUGGCACUGACGCUGAGGAGCGAAAGCGUGGGGAGCGAACAGG
rnacentral:rRNA from 1 species